UAUACAUGCAGUCGAGCGAACCGACGGGAGCUUGCUCCCUUAGGUUAGCGGCGGACGGGUGAGUAACACGUGGGUAACCUGCCUGUAAGACUGGGAUAACUCCGGGAAACCGGGGCUAAUACCGGAUGCUUGAUUGAACCGCAUGGUUCAAUCAUAAAAGGCGGCUUCGGCUGCCGUUUACAGAUGGACCCGCGGCGCAUUAGCUAGUUGGUGAGGUAACGGCUCACCAAGGCGACGAUGCGUAGCCGACCUGAGAGGGUGAUCGGCCACACUGGGACUGAGACACGGCCCAGACUCCUACGGGAGGCAGCAGUAGGGAAUCUUCCGCAAUGGACGAAAGUCUGACGGAGCAACGCCGCGUGAGUGAUGAAGGUUUUCGGAUCGUAAAGCUCUGUUGUUAGGGAAGAACAAGUACCGUUCGAAUAGGGCGGUACCUUGACGGUACCUAACCAGAAAGCCACGGCUAACUACGUGCCAGCAGCCGCGGUAAUACGUAGGUGGCUAGCGUUGUCCGGAAUUAUUGGGCGUAAAGCGCGCGCAGGCGGUUUCUUAAGUCUGAUGUGAAAGCCCCCGGCUC
rnacentral:rRNA from 1 species